rnacentral:rRNA from 1 species
GACGAACGCUGGCGGCGCGCUUAACACAUGCAAGUCGAGCGAAGCGGCGGACGGGUGAGUAACACGUGAGUAACCUGCCUUAGACAUUGGGAUAGCCUCGGGAAACCGGGAUUAAUACCAAAUGGUCUAAGAUGGACUCGCGUCCCAUUAGCUAGUGGGUGAGGUAACGGCCCACCAAGGCGACGAUGGGUAGCCGGCCGGGGAGGGUGAACGGCCACAUUGGAACUGAGAAACGGUCCAAACUCUACGGGGGGCAGCGGUGGGGUAUAUGGCACAAUGGUCGAAAGCCUGAUGCAGCGACGCCGCGUGGGGGAUGAAGGCUUUCGGGUUGUAAACCUCUUUCGCUAUCGAACGGGUAGGUGGAGAAGAAGCGCCGGCUAACUACGUGCCAGCAGCCGCGGUAAUUC